AAAUCAGAUGAUGAGAUUGGAUUCAAAUUUCUCACGACGGUCGUCUGAGACACCAAGGUGUCUAUCUGAUGCAUUGAUCCAAUGUUUCUGAUGAUU
rfam:Corchorus olitorius cultivar O-4 contig19243, whole genome shotgun sequence.